rnacentral:rRNA from 1 species
UGGCGGACGGGUGAGUAAUGUCUGGGAAACUGCCCGAUGGAGGGGGAUAACUACUGGAAACGGUAGCUAUACCGCAUAACGUCGCAAGACCAAAGAGGGGGACCUUUGGGCCUCUUGCCAUCGGAUGUGCCCAGAUGGGAUUAGCUAGUAGGUGGGGUAAUGGCUCACCUAGGCGACGAUCCCUAGCUGGUCUGAGAGGAUGACCAGCCACACUGGAACUGAGACACGGUCCAG